rnacentral:rRNA from 1 species
UAGAGUUUGAUCCUGGCUCAGAUUGAACGCUGGCGGCAGGCCUAACACAUGCAAGUCGAGCGGCAGCACAGGGGAACUUGUUCCCUGGGUGGCGAGCGGCGGACGGGUGAGUAAUGGCUGGGAACCUGCCCUGAUGUGGGGGAUAACAGUUGGAAACGACUGCUAAUACCGCAUGAUGUCUACGGACCAAAGAGGAGGACCUUCGGGCUUCUCGCGUCAGGAUGGGCCCAGUUGGGAUUAGCUAGUUGGUAGGGUAAUGGCCUACCAAGGCGACGAUCCCUAGCUGGUUUGAGAGGAUGAUCAGCCACACUGGAACUGAGACACGGUCCAGACUCCUACGGGAGGCAGCAGUGGGGAAUAUUGCACAAUGGGCGCAAGCCUGAUGCAGCCAUGCCGCGUGUGUGAAGAAGGCCUUCGGGUUGUAAAGCACUUUCAGCAGUGAGGAAGGUGGUGUAGUUAAUACCUGCAUCAUUUGACGUUAGCUGCAGAAGAAGCACCGGCUAACUCCGUGCCAGCAGCCGCGGUAAUACGGAGGGUGCGAGCGUUAAUCGGAAUUACUGGGCGUAAAGCGCAUGCAGGCGGUCUGUUAAGCAAGAUGUGAAAGCCCCGGGCUU